AUGCCGGUUCUGCCGGCUUCCACAGGGGUGGUACGGGUGCUGACCCUGCUGGUGAUGCCGCGCCCGGAGGCCCGGGUGAUGCUACCGGUGUCGUGGACGUGCUACAACUCCGCUGGCAACACCACGGCCGUGUCCCUGGACGGCAGAGUAAACUUCAACAAGGACAACGUGUACCGCAUCUCCAACACCCACAACCAGCUCUUCGUCCUCGGCUGCAACACCUUCGUCUACACCAUGAGCUGGUGCACAGCCCACUGCAACGAUCCCCUGAGCGCCAUGUACACCCUGUACAGCGGGUGCACCACCUACUGCAACGACUCCCGGAGCGCGCAGGACGGCGCGUGCGCCGGCGUCGGCUGCUGCCACGUCGACAUCCCGCCGGGAAUCGGCGACAACCUGAUGAAAUUCGACACCUGGUCGCGCGUCGGCAAGGAGUUCAGCCCCUGCGACUACGCCUUCAUCGUGGAGAAGGGCAGCUACACCUUCCGGGCAGCCGACCUUCAUAUGGAGAAGCACACCAGAUUGCCGCUGCGGCUCGACUGGGCCAUCCGGGACAGCAACGUCAACUCCACUGCCUCCCUGUCCUGCGCCCAGCUGUCUCAGGGGAACAGCACCAGCUGUGUCAGCGACCACAGCGAGUGCGUCGACUCCACCAAUGGCCCCGGAUACGUCUGCAACUGCACAAAGGGCUACGAGGGAAACCCAUACCUUCCCCAUGGAUGCACAAGUAAGCUACCGCUUCAUCUAUGA
rnacentral:rRNA from 1 species